UAGUUGCAAGGUAUAGACCCGAAACCCGGUGAUCUAGCCAUGGGCAGGUUGAAGGUUGGGUAACACUAACUGGAGGACCGAACCGACUAAUGUUGAAAAAUUAGCGGAUGACUUGUGGCUGGGGGUGAAAGGCCAAUCAAACCGGGAGAUAGCUGGUUCUCCCCGAAAGCUAUUUAGGUAGCGCCUCGUGAACUCAUCUUCGGGGGUAGAGCACUGUUUCGGCUAGGGGGCCAUCCCGGCUUACCAAACCGAUGCAAACUCCGAAUACCGAAGAAUGUUAUCACGGGAGACACACGGCGGGUGCUAACGUCCGUCGUGAAGAGGGAAACAACCCAGACCGCCAGCUAAGGUCCCAAAGUCAUGGUUAAGUGGGAAACGAUGUGGGAAGGCAUAGACAGCCAGGAUGUUGGCUUAGAAGCAGCCAUCAUUUAAAGAAAGCGUAAUAGCUCACUGGUCGAGUCGGCCUGCGCGGAAGAUGUAACGGGGCUAAACCAUGCACCGAAGCUGCGGCAGCGACGCUUAGCGUUGUUGGGUAGGGGAGCGUUCUGUAAGCCGUUGAAGGUGGCCUGUGAGGGUUGCUGGAGGUAUCAGAAGUGCGAAUGCUGACAUAAGUAACGAUAAAGCGGGUGAAAAGCCCGCUCGCCGGAAGACCAAGGGUUCCUGUCCAACGUUAAUCGGGGCAGGGUGAGUCGACCCCUAAGGCGAGGCUGAAAAGCGUAGUCGAUGGGAAACAGGUUAAUAUUCCUGUACUUGGUGUUACUGCGAAGGGGGGACGGAGAAGGCUAGGCUAGCCGGGCGACGGUUGUCCCGGUUUAAGCGUGUAGGGGGUGUGACCUGGUAAAUCCGGUUGCAUAUCAACCCUGAGGCGUGAUGACGAUGCACUACGGUGCAGAAGUAGUUGAUGCCCUGCUUCCAGGAAAAGCCUCUAAGCUCUAGGUAACAUUGAAUCGUACCCCAAACCGACACAGGUGGUCAGGUAGAGAAUACCAAGGCGCUUGAGAGAACUCGGGUGAAGGAACUAGGCAAAAUGGUGCCGUAACUUCGGGAGAAGGCACGCUGGCAUGUAGGUGAAGUCCCUUGCGGAUGGAGCUGAAGCCAGUCGAAGAUACCAGCUGGCUGCAACUGUUUAAUAAAAACACAGCACUGUGCAAACACGAAAGUGGACGUAUACGGUGUGACGCCUGCCCGGUGCUGGAAGGUUAAUUGAUGGGGUCAGCCGCAAGGCGAAGCUCUUGAUCGAAGCCCCAGUAAACGGCGGCCGUAACUAUAACGGUCCUAAGGUAGCGAAAUUCCUUGUCGGGUAAGUUCCGACCUGCACGAAUGGCGUAAUGAUGGCCAGGCUGUCUCCACCCGAGACUCAGUGAAAUUGAACUCGCUGUGAAGAUGCAGUGUACCCGCGGCAAGACGGAAAGACCCCGUGAACCUUUACUAUAGCUUGACACUGAACAUUGAGCCUUGAUGUGUAGGAUAGGUGGGAGGCUUUGAAGCGUGGACGCCAGUCUGCGUGGAGCCAUCCUUGAAAUACCACCCUUUAAUGUUUGAUGUUCUAACUCGGCCCCGUGAUCCGGGGUGAGGACAGUGUCUGGUGGGUAGUUUGACUGGGGCGGUCUCCUCCCAAAGAGUAACGGAGGAGCACGAAGGUUAGCUAAUCACGGUCGGACAUCGUGAGGUUAGUGCAAAGGCAUAAGCUAGCUUGACUGCGAGAGUGACGGCUCGAGCAGGUACGAAAGUAGGUCUUAGUGAUCCGGUGGUUCUGAAUGGAAGGGCCAUCGCUCAACGGAUAAAAGGUACUCCGGGGAUAACAGGCUGAUACCGCCCAAGAGUUCAUAUCGACGGCGGUGUUUGGCACCUCGAUGUCGGCUCAUCACAUCCUGGGGCUGAAGUAGGUCCCAAGGGUAUGGCUGUUCGCCAUUUAAAGUGGUACGCGAGCUGGGUUUAGAACGUCGUGAGACAGUUCGGUCCCUAUCUGCCGUGGGCGUUGGAAGAUUGAGAGGGGUUGCUCCUAGUACGAGAGGACCGGAGUGAACGCACCACUGGUGUUCGGGUUGUCAUGCCAAUGGCAUUGCCCGGUAGCUAAGUGCGGAAAAGAUAAGCGCUGAAAGCAUCUAAGCGCGAAACUUGCCUCAAGAUGAGUCUUCCCU
rnacentral:rRNA from 1 species